rnacentral:lncRNA from 1 species
UAAGAGGGACGGCUUAUAGAGAAAGGGCCUUUUCGGCAGCUGCCCCCAGACUAUGGAAUGCCCUCCCGACUGAGAUUCCUCUGGCGCCGACGCUGAUGACAUUUCGGCGCCAGGUCAAAACCUUCCUGUUCCAAAUGGCUUUUAACUGAAAUAAUAUCAGCUGUAGGUCUGAUGGCAAUUUUUAGAAUAUAUAUUUUAAUUGCAUUUUAAUUAUUUUGCCCUUUUAUUGUAUUUUAAAUGCUGUAAGCCGCCCAGAGACCUUGAGUGUGGGCGGCAUAUAAGUUAAAUAAAUAAAUAAAUAAAUAAAUAAAUAAAUAAAUAAAUAAAUAAAUAAAUAAAUAAAUAGGUCCUUCACCAAGAGGGCCAAAGCAGUCCCCGUCCCAUAACCCAGUCUGAAGUGAAAUGGAUCUAGAGUGUCUCCUCUAGGAAGGAAACCUCGGAGCAAGUGCCUCCGCCAAGACAGACCCCGCCAGACUCCCUGGGAAUGGUCUCCAGGCAUGAGGGGGACCCCUUUCACUCCGGGAGGCGGGAAAGAAGGAAGGCGGCGAGAGACCCCUUUCUCUCCCCCAAAGGGGGCAGGCUUCGCAUUGGGGGGGGGGGGUGCGUGGGUGGGCGUCUCUCCAGCAGGGACUGGGAAUGGGCUCGGGCGUCACGUGAUAACAGUCACGUGAUCGGAGGUAGGCAUGGUGCUGGUUCCCAAGUGGGGAGAAGGAGAGGGGAGCAGGGAAGUGGGGUGAAGGUUAGACCUGGCGCGUCCGCCCCAAAAAAGAAACCGGGGUUCUGGAGACCGUGGGAAGGAGGCAAGAGAGGUGAGCGUUCCGGGUGCAGGGAUUUCAGCCGGCAAGGCAAGAUCUGAUCGGCCCAUCUUGGAGAACAUGGAGAAUACAUCCCAGCAUGACACAGGGUUUCUUAAUGUAAUAGUCAAGGUGGAAGAAGAGGAAAAGCUGAAUGAGCGUGAAUUAGAGACUUUCUCAAGGACCAGCUCAGGUGAAGGAUGGGCUACCAAGGGCCAUUAACUGUAAAGAAAUGUCUGAGUCACAUUGCAGCUUUCUAGCCUCUUUCCCCUUGCAGUGGUUCCCCAGUGGUUCUGCUGCAGGACUGUGUGGUGGAAGCAGACCUUUCUGCAGCCUAUAUUUUAUUGUUAGCAGUGCGUUCCUAAGUGCGUUUCACGUAAUUAUACUUGUAUGUAAGCAGAAGACUUUAAUAAAAACGGCGAAUUCCACCCUGCA